CGUGUAGGCGGGAAGAUAAGUCAGAUGUGAAAUUCCAUGGCUCAACUGUGGCGCUGCAUCUGAAACUAUUUUUCUUGAGUGAUGGAGAGGAAAGCGGAAUUCCUAGUGUAGCGGUGAAAUGCGUAGAUAUUAGGAGGAACACCAGUGGCGAAGGCGGCUUUCUGGACAUUAACUGACGCUGAGGCGCGAAAGCGUGGGGAGCAAGCAGGAUUAGAUACCCUGGUAGUCCACGCUGUAAACGAUGGAUACUAGGUGUAGGAGGUAUCGACCCCUUCUGUGCCGGAGUUAACACAAUAAGUAUCCCACCUGGGGAGUACGGCCGCAAGGUUGAA
rnacentral:rRNA from 1 species